rnacentral:ncRNA from 1 species
GCGCAGGGUGGGCGCGAUGGUGACUGCGAAAGCGGCCUAAUAGGGAACACGGUGCGGGGAGACCCCCAAGACCGUGACUGCCCCCGCAACUGUGAGCGGCGAGCCAUCCCGAAAGACGCCACUGGGGACGCGCUGUCCCCGGGAAGGCACGGGAGACGCGACGACCCGCGAGUCAGGAGACCUGCCAUUACGGGCUGCCAUGG